rnacentral:rRNA from 1 species
GACGAAGGGGGCUAGCGUUGUUCGGAAUUACUGGGCGUAAAGCGCGUGUAGGCGGUUGUUCAAGUCAGGUGUGAAAGCCUUGAGCUCAACUCAAGAAAUGCACUUGAUACUGGAUGACUAGAGGACCGGAGAGGAUAGUGGAAUUCCCAGUGUAGUGGUGAAAUACGUAGAGAUUGGGAAGAACACCAGUGGCGAAGGCGGCUAUCUGGACGGUUUCUGACGCUAAGACGCGAAAGCUAGGGGAGCAAACGGG